UACGGGGGGAGCAAGCGUUGUUCGGAUUUACUGGGCGUAAAGGGCUCGUAGGCGGCCAACUAAGUCAGACGUGAAAUCCCUCGGCUUAACCGGGGAACGGCCUCUGAUACUGGCUGGCUGGAGUUCGGGAGAGGGAUGCGGAAUUCCAGGUGUAGCGGUGAAAUGCGUAGAUAUCUGGAGGAACACCGGUGGCGAAGGCGGCAUCCUGGACCGACACUGACGCUGAGGAGCGAAAGCCAGGGGAGCAAACGGG
rnacentral:rRNA from 1 species